CCCAACUAUCCCUAUUAAUCAUUACGUCAAUCCUAGAAACCAACAAAAUAGGAUCAAACGUCCUAUUUCAUUAUUCCAUGCUAAUGUAUUCAAGCGUGUGCUUGCUUUAAACACUCUAAUUUUUUCAAAGUAACAGUCCUGAUUCUCCAUGACACCAAAUUAAUGACAUCACAGUUCAUCAGAAGGGAGAAAUCAAUGAUGUCAGUACAUACCAAAGGCAUGACCGGCACCUUGAUCCCGAAAUUCAACUACGAGCUUUUUAACUGCAACAACUUUAAUAUACGCUAUUGGAGCUGGAAUUACCGCGGCUGCUGGCACCAGACUUGCCCUCCAA
rnacentral:misc_RNA from 2 species